AAUGAACGUUGGCGGCGUGGAUUAGGCAUGCGAGUCGAGCGAGAACCGUAGCGAUACGGGGACAGCGGCGAAAGGGACAGUAACGGGUAGAUUAUCUGCCCUCAGGUUUGGGAUAGCUGCGGGAAACUGCAAGUAAUACCAAAUAAUAUCUCCGGAUCAAAGGUGUGAUUCCGCCUGAGGAUGAGUCUGCCUCCUAUUAGCUUGUUGGGGGGGUAACGGCCUACCAAGGCAUUGAUGGGUAGCGGGUGUGAGAGCACGACCCGCGUCAUUGGGAAUGAGACACUGCCCAGACACCUACGGGUGGCUGCAGUCGAGAAUCUUCGGCAAUGGACGCAAGUCUGACCGAGCGACGCGGCGUGUGGGAUGAAGGCCUUCGGGUUGUAAACCACUGUCAGAGGGGAUGAAAUGCAGGUGGGUACUCCCAUUUGUUUGACAUAGCCUCAGAGGAAGUACGGGCUAAGUUCGUGCCAGCAGCCGCCGUAA
rnacentral:rRNA from 1 species